AAGGCUAAAUACUAAUCUUCGACCGAUAGUGAACCAGUACCGUGAGGGAAAGGUGAAAAGCACUCCUGCUAGGAGAGUGAAAUAGUACCUGAAACCGCAUGCCUACAAGCAGUGGGAGGUCCGCAAGGACUGACCGCGUGCCUUUUGCAUAAUGAGCCGGCUAGUUAUUCUAUGCAGCAAGGUUAAAUCAACUGAUGGAGCCGUAGCGAAAGCGAGUCCGAACAGGGCGAUUCAGUUGCAUGGAAUAGACGCGAAGCUGAGUGAUCUACCCUUGGCCAGGAUGAAAGCAGGGUAACACCUGCCGGAGGUCCGAACCAGUGUUGGUUGAAAACAGCUUGGAUGAGCUGAGGGUAGGGGUGAAAGGCUAAUCAAACUCAGUGAUGGCUCGUUCUCCCCGAAAUAGCUUUAGGGCUAGCCUUGAGAAGAGUUAAUCCCGGAGGUAGAGAGCUGGAUGGACUAGGGGCCUUACAGGGUUACCGAAUCCAACCAAACUGCGAAUGCCGGAGAUUAUCAGCUCAGGAGUCAGACUGUGGGGGCUAAGCUUCACAGUCGAGAGGGAAAGAACCCAGACCACCAGCUAAGGUCCCGAAAUACGAGCUAAGUGGGAAAGGAUGUGGAAACACUUGGACAACCAGGAGGUUGGCUUAGAAGCAGCCAUCCUUUAAAGAAAGCGUAACAGCUCACUGGUCAAGUGGGUCCGUGCCGACAAUAUAACGGGGCUAAAGCUCGAUACCGAAGCUGUGGAUUACCUGCCAUAAGAAGCAGUAAUGGUAGGGGAGCAUUCCAUAGGCCUGUGAAGUCAGAUGGUGACAUCUGGUGGAGGUAUUGGAAGAGACCCUGCCGGCAUAAGUAGCGAUAAUCGCGGUGAAGAACCCGCGACGCCGAAAGUCUAAGGUUUCCUGGGGAAGGUUAAUCCGCCCAGGGUCAGUCGGUCCCUAAGCUCAGGCCGAAAGGCGUAGGCGAUGGAGAUGCCGUCAACAUUCGGCAACCACCCGUGUGGCGUUAUCCAGCGAUGGGGAGACGCAGAAGGAUAGGCUGGACUCCGAUUGGAAGUGGAGUUUCAAGCUGGUAGGGGGCAUGCUCAGGAAAAUCCGGGUGUGCGUUAACUCCGAGAAGCGAUGUCGAGCCGCAAGGCGCAAAGCAGCUGAUUCCACACUGCCGGGAAAAUCCUCUAGUGAGCCGCACAGGUGACCGUACCGCAAACCGACACAGGUAGACGAGGAGAGAAUCCUAAGGCGCUUGAGAGAACACUCGUUCAGGAACUCGGCAAAUUAACUCCGUAACUUCGGGAGAAGGAGUGCCCACGGUAGGUGAAAUCUCUAGCGGAUGGAGCUGAGGUGGGUUGCAGUGAAUAGCGUCAGGCGACUGUUUACUAAAAACACAGCACUCUGCGAAGACAAAAAAUCUAGGUAUAGGGUGUGACGCCUGCCCGGUGCCGGAAGGUUAAAAGGAGGAGUUAUUGGGGGCGACCCUGAGAAGCUCUGAAUUGAAGCCCCGGUGAACGGCGGCCGUAACUAUAACGGUCCUAAGGUAGCGAAAUUCCUUGUCGGGUAAGUUCCGACCUGCACGAAUGGCGUAACGAUCUGACGACUGUCUUAACGAGUGACUCAGCGAAUUUGUAAUACCGGUGAAGAUGCCGGUUACCCGCCACUAGACGGAAAGACCCCGUGCACCUUUACUACACUUUAGCAAUGUACUUCGGUGCGGUAUGCGCAGGAUAGGUGGGAGGCUAUGAACUGUGGGUUUUGGCCUGCAGGGAGCCGACGGUGAGAUACCACUCUUAUUGUACUGAGGUACUAACCUACGCUCGUGGACCGGGCGAGGGACAUUGCUUGACGGGUAGUUUGACUGGGGCGGUCGCCUCCUAAACGGUAACGGAGGCGCUCGAAGGUAUGCUCAGGCUGUUUGGAAAUCAGCCAUCGAGUGUAAAGGCAUAAGCAUGCUUAACUGCGAGACAGACAAGUCGAGCAGAUGGGAAACCAGGACUUAGUGAUCCGGUGGUUCUGAAUGGAAGGGCCAUCGCUCAACGGAUAAAAGGUACGCCGGGGAUAACAGGCUGAUCUUGCCCAAGAGUUCAUAUCGACGGCAAGGUUUGGCACCUCGAUGUCGGCUCAUCGCAUCCUGGAGCUGAAGAAGGUUCCAAGGGUUGGGCUGUUCGCCCAUUAAAGCGGUACGUGAGCUGGGUUUAGAACGUCGCGAGACAGUUCGGUCCCUAUCUGUGGUGGGCGCAGGAUAUUUGAGAGGAUCUAUCCUUAGUACGAGAGGACCGGGAUGGACGAACCUCUUGUGCACCAGUUGUCGUGCCAACGGCAUAGCUGGAUAGCGAAGUUCGGAAGGGAUAAACGCUGAAAGCAUAUAAGCGUGAAACCCACCUCAAGAUAAGAUAUCCCCACCCGCGAGGGUGCUGAAGACCCCUGGAAGACCACCAGGUGAUAGGCUGGGUGUGGAAGCGCAGUAAUGCGUGAAGCUUACCAGUACUAAUCGGUCGUGAGGCUUGACCAUAAAA
rnacentral:rRNA from 1 species